GGCACCGUGGCGGAGUGGUUAUCGCGUCAGACUUGAAUUACAUUCUUGGUUAUCUGAUUCCUUCGGGAGCGCCGGUUCGAAUCCGGUCGGUGUCG